UUAUUUUAAUCUAAAUAUUAUAAUAAACAAUGUAAUUAUCUUUGAAAGGGUGAUUACCAAGUAAUUAAGAUGGAUUAUAAAGGAACAAAUAUAAUAACUACAAAAUUUGGGGUAUUUUGGUCACACAAAGAGCUUCUGGUAGGACUAGAAAGCUAUUUUAGCCUUUUACCAAACACUUAUAUAUUAUCUAGAAGUGCUUUUUAGGCUCUAGAAAGCACUUUUGGCCCUUCCAAAAGCAAUCCAAAUGGGGCUUAAGUUUCUCUUAUCAGGAUAAUCAUCCAUAUAAAAUAAAUUUCUCUCUAAUCAUCUAAAUUUUUUGAAAUUUUCUGGCUUGCUGCACCUCCCCUUGAUCGCAUAGGAUACUUCAACUCUUUCAGAUAAGACCAAUUAUUGAUGUUACAAAUUUUUUAAUUAUCAUUUGAUAUUUUGCUUGCCCCAGGUUUUCCAAUGUCGCCUGCCCCCAGAAGCACUUGACCUGGUGUGCAGGUUUUCUGCAGUACCCACCAAAUCUGCGGUGCACUGCUUUGGAAGCCUGCACGCACCCCUUCUUUGAUGAGCUGAGAGACCCAAAUACUCGUCUACCCAAUGGCUGUCCUCUUCCUCCCUUCUUUAACUUUAAACAUCAAGGUAAGAAACCCUCGGGAUAAUGAGCAUAUAUUAUAGCAUAAAGCAGCAAGUAAUUCUUUUGUUUUGGCUAAUAUUAUAUAAAUUUACAUGUGGAUGUGACUUUGUUACAGUGAUUAAACACCAUCCUACCUCCAAGAGCUUGAUGAUCAGUCAUUGGACCAUUGCACUAUAUCACUUUUAUAGCCUUUUUUUCAUGAAAAUCAGUAUUGUGUAAUCUCCUUCAGCUACCAUAAAGCAAUACCCCAACAACAUGAAUUACCAUUUUCUUGCUUGAUUUUUUUUGUUAGGACGGACAAAUCGCAAAAGCCUAGUUUGAGUACAUCCACAAGAGUCAGAAAAUAAAAUAUCCUGAAAAGGAGGUAGCGGGGCUGCACCGUCCGUCCACAGCGUCUUGCUGGAAUGAUCGGCAAUAAAAGAUGCAAACCAAUCCACGGCUUUGUUUGCCUCGCGGUAAACAUGACUAUUUGCUUGCUAGUAAAUAUAAUAUUAUGAAUCCUAGUAAGUAAUAUAUUAUCUAUUUACAAAUUCUUAGGUAUAAUUUUACUGUUUGCUUGAUGAAGGUCUGAUUAAGUGAUCCCUGUACAUGUCUUUAUACAAGCAUAUUAUCUUUUGAUUGAAUACUUGUUUAAGAAAUUUUUUCGUCCAAUGUUUUGCUAAUUUGAUAUUCUAUCUAGAUGAUGACUCGUAAAGCAUAUAAAGCCAAUAUAUUUUCUUCAUUUUAUAUUGUAAUUUCCAAUAUUUGGAUGAUCACAUAUAUGCAAGUCAAUAUGCACAUUUUCAGCUCUUGCAUUGAUGCAUAGUCUUCUGUCUCUGGCUUGCCAGCUCAUGACCAUGGCGGAGAUUAUGCUCAUCCCUCCAAAUGCUCUUGAACGCCUUGCUCCAGAGCAUGCAAGAGAGCAGAGUUUGUGCAUGGCCUUGCAACUUUGUAGGUUCGAGAAAUGAAGCAUUCCAGUUAUCCCUUUUCAUCGGGUUUGGUGGUUCAUGAGAUAUGUAAAUUCACGGUUCUUUUUUUUAAUUUCAAUUUCUCUAUUGAUAUUUUUCUUUUUCUUUAAAAAAAACCUGAAACACUGAAAUUUCCAGACAACAUGAGAUUGCAAGGCUUAUUUUAUAAUAUCAGUUAUGUUAUAUCUCCAUCAAGAAGAAUCAUAAUUUACUUGUGAAUUGUGACUGCAAUGGGUGGGUCCCUCCCUUCCUUUCACUAAAAAAAAAA